CUGAUCUCUGUCCCGCGGGAACCCUAGCCGCUGCCCUCGCCCACUCGUCCUCCUCCCCGCUCCCCUUCCUGGCGGCGCUCCCGACCGCCGACGUCUUCUCCUCCCCACAGUCGAACUCAGGCCGCCGCUCCGUCUCGCGUCCCCGUCGCACCUCCCCUCAAACCGCCGCUCCGCGCGCCCCGCAGCCGCCGCGCUUCCGUCUGGUUCUCCUCCCCCUUCCUUUCCCAUCGCGGAACUAGCCGCCGUCGCUGCUCGCCCCAUCCCCCUGGCGCCGCCACCCCGGCCUCCUUCCCUGGACAUGGUGAGCGUGAGCAGCAGCGAGAGGAGCACGACUGGUGACUGGGCACUGCUGUACGAGGGUCGCGCCGAGCACGCCAUGGAGCACGGCGGCCAGCUCUGCUCGUGGGACGACCUGUGUGCCGCCAUCGCCACCACUGACGCCGCCGGAGGCAAUGCAUCAGCAAAAAGCGGGUGGCGCCGCCGGGGAGCGCCAUGAUAGAUGAGUUGCGUGGCGCAAAGUGGGACGACAAGAUUCAAUUCGUUGUGAAUUAUCGAUUUAGAUCUUGUUGGAGAGAUUGGGGGCCAGAAAUUGACUUUGCAGUGGUGUUCACUGGCAUGUCCCCGUCGGGCUCGGGAGGAAAUGUUGGAAAGAAGCAUCCACACCCAGCCGUCCUCCCGCUCUGGUUGUUCCAGCUACCCCUGUAGCAUGAACCAUGAAGCGCCUAUGCAGUGCAUGCAAGGCUCCAACAAAAAAGUGAUACUGUGCCAAACGUGGAUGUUCCAUAUGAAAGGGGUAGCCUGUCCUGCACCGCGACACAAAGAUGACGGGAUGAUUCAUCUAUGCAUUUCAGUCAAGCUCGCGCGUUGCCAUCACCAGGAGGAGGGCCGGCCGCCGAGACGGCCGCCCAAGUCUGCUAUUGCCGUCGUCCUUCAGUAAGACCGGGGGGCGGUGACACAUUCCCAGUGCGCGUUGCUUGUUGUCACAUUGGCCACCUGACGGAGAUGGAAGAGCUUCGUUGCUAGCCCCACAAUGGAAGAGGAUGCCAAGACGAGGAAUGUAAUCAAUCCCUGCCUUACUGUCCCGACGACAGAGAUGAUGACUCCGAACCUAGGUGCUCAGCAGGAGCAGCGACAAGAGCAACACAACCUGUCAACGAGUUUGGCCCUCUUUGUGGUAACUACUUCUUCUUUUAUUCGGAGUAUCCAAUGGAAAGUGGGUCUCUAUCAUUUAGAAGUUUGCACCAACCCAUACUCUUCCUCUAUAUCGAAUGACUGGUUAUGUGUGAUGCCUCGGUGGAUUAGGAUAUGAAAUUGAUGCUAAAGGUAACCAAUCUCACCUUUUGCAUAUUUCCUGUUAAAACAAAAUUGAACCAUAUCCUGAAUCUGCACCUAUUAUGUUGAUUGCUAAUUUUCUUCAUGACCCUAUCAUGGUUUGGAUUGUUGUGGCUUCCAAGCAAUUAUAUAACAGGAGCAAGGUUUCGUAGCAUGGCCCGUGACCUCUUCCAUUUGCUUUGGACGAAUGAUGUUAUAUAACCUUUUUGUUUGACAUUCGGAAGUCGUCUCUGCCCUUUCCCCUUUAUUUGUGAAUUGCCUUAUGUUUUGCAUGUAUAUUCUCCAUUGAAACACUCUGUUCUGCUUGCUGCUGCCUCAUUCUUUUAGAUAUAAAAUACUGCAUAGAACAUGACUAAUUGGGUCUCUAUAUUUAAUUUCAGUUUAGGAUGGUGGAAAUUCACAUUCUUUUUCAAAACCAUAUUUAGUUCGUUUAUCCUGCAUUAUCUAUGACAAGUCGAUAAAAGAUGUAAAUGUUAUUUGUUCUUGCUCAUGCUCUUUUCUUAUGUCUGUUCAGGCAUAACCUCACCAAACUUUGCUACACUUAACAUCAUGAGGGAUGGAGGGUAUGUAAGUAAUUUCGCGACAACAUAUCAUAUUGCUUUAAGUAUUACUGAGUCCGAAUUUGUAGUAGUGUAGUAUCCCAUCAUUCUGUCAGCCAGACAUUGAACUCACUCUGGACUCGAUCAGUAGUAUUUGAAUUUCUCAUAUGUUGGUUAAAACUAUCAGUGGUGUAGUAUCCAAUCAUUCUGUUAGCCAAACAUUGAACUGGUCGUGGACUCGGUCAGAAGUAUUUGAAUUUCUCAUGUACCGUCAGAAUAACCCUAUCAGGACCCUAUUUGGAGCAACAAAAGUAUUUGUCAGCAGGGUAAUAUCGUUCUCCUAUAAAAAAAAUGAAAUUGUGAGGUGAGGGUUAAGAUGUGGUCAGCAUGGUAAUGACUCAGACUCCUUGAAAUUCUUAUAGAGGAAAUCAGAUGACUCCAUUUGGAACGAAAACUGAAAAACACAACUUCCAAUUGGCUUUCAAAGAAUAGCAGCAGAUCCAACCAUGGCUAGCCAGAAUAGGUUCUUCUUUGUCAAUUGGGUUAGAGAGACGAUCUUGAUUGGUCAAUAUGGUAGUAUACAAAAUAUGUUGCAAUUUUAAAUGACUGUAGAUUUGAUGGUUCAGUUUCACAAGCAAUUGACCUUUGUAUCAAUUAUCCUGUGUAUACAUUAUGCUAUAUGACCAUGGAAGUUGUGCCUACAAAAUAUAGAGCAGUUUGGUCUACAAAACAUUUUGCAAAUAUCUUUUACAGUCCGGAUGUGUGUUUUCCUUUGACCCUGCAAACAAAUUGUGAAAGAAUGAGCAGUUCUGGAAAAUACCAAAGGCACAUCUAAGCACAGUAGAAUGCCCACAUAUCUCUUUAUCGCUAUAUAAUUCGUUUUGGUACCAUCUGACCCAAUGUUUUUCAUUUUCCUUCUGCUCCAGACCAGGCAAGCAGCGGCAACGCCGGACAGGCCGCUCUCGCACCAGACUCCCUUCAGGGUAGUUACCCACGGGCACGCACUUCUACCGUUUAUUCUUACUCGUGAUUCCACUUGUUGUGACUGUGGCUCGAUCCAUGUUGCGGCCCAAUUAUUAUUUUUAGUUGCGAUGGAUCGUCUUGGCUUGCUUUUGGCACACCUGAUUCCACUACCUUUUGUUGUUGCUUGGACCAGUUUCUAUGUAUUGAACAUAUUUAUAUCAGUGUUGUGCUUCUGAUAUAAUCUUGCUAUGUUAUACCGGUGAUUUCUACUUGCGCCAGUGAGUAUACAAAGUCAUACUCAUGUUGUGAUGCAAAUACUUCCUUUGGCUAAAUAGUAUAAUUAUGACAGGUUCAUACAUCAUGUCGAGGAGUAUUAAGUUAUUGCAUGUGUACUUAGGUUCUUUGGCGUGUUGUUCAUAGGGUUAUCAAGUAGGGUCCUAAUAGGGUUAUUCAUAGUAUUAAGUUAGGGAUUGAACCUAUGUUGCUCCAAUAUCAUGCUAUUGUUUAUAUUUACAAUGCUUUGAUGACUGUAUUGCUGUUAUUGAAUUUGAUAUGACUUGUACCCGGCAGCGGUGCUGCCGGGUGCGGCAAGCCGCACUUCCUACCUAGUUAAGAGGAGCGGGGAGGGAGCAGCACCCCGAGGUAAUUAAGAGGAUGAGGAACGGCCAGUCGUCAGUCCAUUUCUUUCCUCUCUCUAUUCUUCUCUGUGAAAUCCGAAGAUCUCUGCAGCGAAUCGAAGAGAAUCGCUGUGCUCCUCCACGACUAGCGAGAGGAUGGGCGACACUGCCGAUGGAGAGAUGGUUGCAGAUUUUGUCUGUGCCCUUUCAACCACGAGAGCAGGGCAAGCGGCAUCAACAUGUAUGUCUGGAAGGAGUUCAAAAACGCAGGGGUAACUCCGCAGCCUAUGUUCGUUUUUUAUUUGUAUUUUUUUCAUUUUCCGAUCCUUAUUUUUUAUUUUAUACUCAUCAUCACAGAAUAUAUUGUUGAAGGUUGGCCUUUUUCCAUUUUUCUCCCUGAGUUUUGAAGCAGAGGGGAGCCCCUAGUUAACUAGUUGUUUACAUUGAAUCAUUGGAAUUUUUUUGUCCAUCGUGUCAAGUUCUUCCUGUGUGGUUAGAGAGUAGAAAAACACUUACUGUCAUAAUAGGGAUUUAUAAGUCUAAAAAAAUAGGGAUCAUUUUUUAAUGUUUGUAGCUUGGCUUUACUUCAAGAAACCAUGGCCAUGAUUUUAACUAGCAGCAGCAACUUUAUUUUGUCUUAUUAGUGUUUUACUAGCAACAGUCUUCUCUAUUUUGUAACUGUGUUUUUUGCUUGAUAUGGUUGGUUCAUAUUUUAAGAGUUCAGUGUAUCUUUUUUUUCUAGCCAUUUUUCUGACCCAUGUAGAAUGUAGAAUGUAUAGUGUAGGUUUUUGUAGAAUUCACAGUUUGAUGUUCAUGUUCAAACCAUGUAGGUUGUUUCAUGUAGAUUUUUGUUGCUUGUUCCUGUCGUUUGUGAUUUUUCUGAUUUUUCUGAUUUGUAGCUCGUUUCCUGUAGGGUUUUUUCAUUUUUUUGUUUCUUUGUUCCGUCAAGCCUAGUAUCAUAUGCUAGUCUUUCCCUAAUAAUAAACCAGCGACUGCUUCUGGUCGUCCGUCAUUAGGCUUUUUGCAAAAAGGUCCUCCCGUUUCUAAGAAAUUAACCCGCAGUCUGUUUUAAGUAACUAAUUUAAGAAAACGUUUCGUUUUUACAAAAAGGCCCUGUAAUUUGGUAUAUUCAACCCGCGGUCCAGACGUCGACGCAACGGCGUGGCGGCGCAAUGCAGAAAGGGGGCGGUGGAUGGAGAUUGCAGGGGCCGGAUCCGCGCGCGGCAGGGGCUGGGAAGGCGGAUCCGGAGGCGGGCGGCGCGGCGGGGAUCGCCGGUGACGACGAGGAAGACUAGCGCGGCUUCCCGGGCGGAUCCAUGGCGUCCACGGCUCUUGGGUAGAGAGGAGACAAGGAGGUGAGGGAGAGAAGAAGGGACAAAGGAGGAGUGGUGCGGCGACCUAGGAAGGAGCUUGCCGAAGCCGGGCGACGGCGGACGGGCGCGGGAGACGGAGGGAUCCGGUGCGGCGGCGCGAAUCCUGCUACAGGUGCGAGCCGCUCGUCUUCUAGGACCACCCUCAAGACGACGGUGGUGUCAACGGCUAGGCGCACGGCGGCAGCCCUCCCGUUGCUACGGAGCCUGGUGGAGUGCCCUGAGGCCGCAGAUGCUGCUGCUACACCCGCACCACCAGCCCAAGGUCAGUCUCCUUCACCUCGUUCUACAGCGCAACUCCCGUCUGGCACCAUGCUGCCUUACUUCUGCCCCUCUGGUUUGGAGAUUGUGCGCUCUCAGCUCUGCUGGGCAGGCCGUGCUCUCUUGCGUGCGAGCAAGGGAGAAGAGCGAGCUUGCUGAUUCUUACCUGCAGCUCCAACAUUUAAGCCUGCAAAUCGAAUCUUCAGAUUUGUCUUCUACAAAAUAGGAUUUUUUUACAGUUACAUACUCAUUGAAGUUACAUGUUGUGCAGUUUAGAAAUUUGAUUACUAGGGGACUUUUACUACAUGUCCAGUUGUUUCAUGAUAAAAGGAGCGCGCACCAAACGUUUGUUGAAUUGCUGCUUGAAGAAAAUGUAUGGAGUUUUUAUUGCGUGCUUCAAGUCAUAAACCACGUAAAAUAAAUCCUAUAAGCUGUUCUUACCAUACAAUCGUUUGAACCAAUUUUGUAAACUUAGUACGAUAUGAUUAUUGUUUUUGUAGGGUUUCCUAUAGAUAUAUUUGAGCUAUUAAAAAUGUGAUUAUAUCAUUUGUCAUCUGAAAACCACACUCAUGUAUACAUUAUGGGACAUAAUGUCCAGGAAAUAAUCACCAGGUACAAACAUCACUCUUAACCUAUGUUGUACAACAUUGCAUAAUUUUCUGUUUUUUGUGAGGUACCGUCAGUAUUUUUUUAUCGCAUACAUAUAUAGAACAAAGGUCACAAGAGCUGAUUUUGUGCACCUUGCUGCAUCUGCACUCACUUGAUUAAGAUAUUCAAAGUGUGAGCUUUUGAAAUUUCCAAAAAUAAGUCAGAUUGUCAUUAUUAACCUAUGUGCACAUGCCAAUAUUUUCUGACUCUGUGACAAUUGUCUUUGAGAAUAAUUGGAUGAACCACCAUGUCGCCCUUGCGCCUGGUUCCAUGGGAAAGUAAUUUACAAAGCUCCAGUUGGUCAAUACAGCCUACAUGUUUGUUUUAACAGGCAGCUACAGGUUGACAUUUUUUAUCUGAUUCCAUGUUUUUUACCACUGCUUAACUUUAUUUGAAAAACUGUUGUUGUUAUGUACGCAUGAUACAGUACUAGAGUUGUAUGCAGGAUAUAGUACUAGAGUUGGAAUUUCAGGGCAUCCAAAAAGAACUUACUAUGCUUCAGCCCAUGUUUUCUAGCAUUGCUUGCCUUUAUUUGAAAAACUGUUGUUGUUAUGUAUGCAAGAUACAAUACUAGAGUUGUAAUUUCAGGGCAUCCAAAAGAACUUACUAUGCUUCAGCCCAUGUUUUCUACCAUUGCUUGCCUUUAUUUGAAAAACUGUUGUUGUUAUGCAUGCAAGAUACAAUACUAGAGUUGGAAUUUCAGGGCAUCCAAAAAGAAUUUACUAUGCUUCAGGUAAGAAAGUUAAUUUGUUUGACUUUUGUAAGGACUAAAUUACUAGCUUAAUGCAUGGAACUUAUUGAGCUGCAGACAUGGCAUGUGCGUACAUAGAGACCUGCUGUGGAUACACCUCUUCUUACAGGACAGACUGUCUACGAAUUAUCUUGAGCUUCAAUUUCCAUAAUAAAACGUGUGCUUUUAUGUAUCAUGGUUUCUCCUCCUACAUAACCAAAAUUUCCAGAUGUUGUUUUAUCAUUUCCUUCCAGCGCCAUUAAAUCUCAGUCUUACCUAUGUUGAAAUGGUUCCAGCGUGUGCAUGAUGCACUGCUCCCCUUAGUUUUCGGAGGAAGAUGCUGCUAUUCCUGGUGCUUUUGGUUAUGGAAAAACUGACAUUAGUCAGGAACUUUCUAAGUACUCUAAUUCUGAAGCUUUGGUUUAUGUGGGAUGUGGCUGAAAGAGGAAAUGAGAUGGCCGAGAUUCUAAUGGAUUUCCCCCAAUCGACAAUGACAUUUCUUGACAUGAUGUGAAGAGUGGAGCCGCUUAAAGUACAUGGCGAGCUCACCAUGCUCACCUUUCUUCCUACAGAUUGGGAGCCGCCGACCAUGACCCAUGGUGUGUAGAUGAUACACCGGUGAUGCGUUCCAAGGGACGAAGAGGAGCUCAUGAUUUUCGGGGACGAGGAGGAGCUUGCGAUUUCCAGACUCGGCCUGCCCGACCUGCUGACGCAUGAGGAGGACUAGGAGUCUGGUGUUUUCUCUGCAAUGAAGCACGGAUGUCUUCGGGUGCAAUGCAUGGGCUCUUUUGCUUUUACAAACUUCAGUUCUAAUUUUAGUGUUCGACUAAUAGUAGUCUGUUGGAACAAGUGCAAAGGCAACAUCAUCUUCCAGCAGAAGAUUUCCCCUGCAUUGAGCGUUUCAGAGAUGCACUAGGUAGGUAAAACAUCGACAAUUUAGAGAAAGUCAAGCUAUAUUUACUACUACUAUGUUGUAUUAACAAAUCUAGCACAACGUUUACGAGUCGAAGAGUCGACGAGUCGUUCCAAGGUUGAGACUCAUAGAGACUAGUGCGAGACUAGUCGACAUGGUACUGUAGCACUGAACUUACAGUACAUAACUAAUAAUACCUAGUAGUAGUAUGUAGUAUUACACUAUAUAAGUAUACAAGUACAGUAUACAAUUGAAACAAGCAAAGUGGAGUCACUGAGGCAGAGCAGCACCAGCAACUAGCAGCAAGCACAGCAGCACCAGCAGUCUAUCUGCGAGCAGAGCAGCACCAACAGCAAGCAGAGCAGCACCAGCAGUCCAGCAGCGGAGCAGAGCAACAGCAGCGGCAAGCCAAGAAGAAAGAGGAGGAGAAAGGAGGGGCAAGGCAGAGCAGCACCAGCAGUCCAGCAGCGAGGCAGAGCAGCACUGAGGCUCACCUGCCUGAAGAGGAGAAGAGCACGAGGGGUCGGCGGCACGAGGAGGGGCGCGAGACGAAGGAGCAGGAGGGGCGCGAGACGAAGGCGAUGGUGGAGCUUCAGAUCCGCGACGUGGGGCCGGCGACGGUGGAGCUUCAGAUCCGCGGCGGCGGGCGUCCAGCGGCCGGCGGCGCGAGGAGGGCUCGACGGGCGCGUCCAGCAGCCGGCGGCGCGUCCAGGUGAGGAGGGGAAAGAAAGGAUUAGGUCUCCCGCGGGAUGAGGCAUCGUAUUUUUGUACUCCCCCAGUUUUUUGAGUCGUUCGACUCGAACAUGUCGACUAGUCUGGACUAGUCGUCGACUAGUCGAUGACUGGCUUGACUCGUACAAGUAGUCUACACGAGAAACCGAGUCGACAACCAGUUUGCGACUCAUAGACUAGUCGAGCGACUAGUCUAGACUAGUCGUUCGACUCGUAAUCGUUGAUCUAGCAUCAGUUCGAAUGAUUUAAGGAAAGUAAACAGAGAUGUUGAUGAGCUUAAUUAAUUCAAAAUUGUUCUUGAUUUUUGUUUCUAGAUGAAAUAUUUGAUUCAUUGUUGUGGAUUUUCCAGGACAAAGCAGGUUCUGGUGGACAAAGAGGUGAUAAGCGAUGAACUCUUCCGGUAGAAAAGUUGAUGGUCCUAAUUUGUUUAUAAUUUAUUUCUUGAUCCCUUUAAUUUACGCAACAUCUCUGGUUUUCGUGUUCUGUGAUAAUAUAUUUGAGUAUAGUCACAGGCUACGCAAAAUGAUUAUUUACGUUCCUAAUUUAUCUUCCUCUUUCAUGGUGGUAGGGAAACAUCAUCGUUAGUUUGCACGAGCUAGGACUUUGCAGAAUUUUGUCAAUAGCAUUUAUCAGGAUAUAUUUUUUCUUAUUCCUUUCUAUAUUUAGACAAGAAAGAAACAUAGAGAAUCUUAAUCCUAUACUUUAGCAGUACCUGCAGCAGAGCAAGCUGUUGUCUCAAAUUUAACAGAAGAUGGAAAUGAAUGGUUGCUUUGUUGCAGGUUACUCCAAGAACAAGUGCAUUAUCAAACUAGAUGUUGUAUAUUAUCCGUCCUUCAUCUUGAUGCUUGUGUAUCCUGCGACAAGUCCAAGCUUAAUCAGGAUAAUCUGAUUAGUGCGUCACAAGUCUGCUAUUUCUAAUUGUACCAAUUCUGUACUUAUUUUAGCAUUUUACAUAAUGUGUAGAUUUUUCUGUAUUUCUAAUCGUACCAGUUCUGUACUUAUUUUAGUAUUUUACAUAAUGUGUAGAUUUCCCCGUAUUUCUAAUUGUACCAGUUCUGUACUUAUUUUUGCUAUAUUAUUUAGUUCAAAAUGACUUUGUAAAUCCCAGUUUCUCCAGUAUUGUAACUCUGUCAAAUUGUCCAAUUAAACUGAUAUUUCUCUUUGGACAACUUCAA